UACGUAGGUCCCGAGCGUUGUCCGGAUUUAUUGGGCGUAAAGCGAGCGCAGGCGGUUCUUUAAGUCUGAAGUUAAAGGCAGUGGCUCAACCAUUGUGUGCAUUGGAAACUGUUAGACUUGAGUGCAGUAGAGGAGAGUGGAAUUCCAUGUGUAGCGGUGAAAUGCGUAGAUAUAUGGAGGAACACCGGUGGCGAAAGCGGCUCUCUGGACUGUAACUGACACUGAGGCUCGAAAGCGUGGGUAGCAAACAGG
rnacentral:rRNA from 1 species